UGAACGCUGGCGGCAUGCCUUACACAUGCAAGUCGAACGCGAAAGGGGGCAACCCUGAGUAGAGUGGCGAACGGGUGAGUAAUACAUCGGAACAUUUCCAGUAGCGAGGGAUAACCUCGAGAAAUCGAGGCUAAUACCGCAUACGUCCUACGGGAGAAAGCGGGGGACCGCAAGGCCUCGCACUAUUGGAGUGGCCGAUGUCGGAUUAGCUAGUUGGCGGGGUAAUAGCCCACCAAGGCAACGAUCCGUAGCUGGUCUGAGAGGAUGAUCAGCCACACUGGGACUGAGACACGGCCCAGACUCCUACGGGAGGCAGCAGUGGGGAAUUUUGGACAAUGGGCGCAAGCCUGAUCCAGCCAUGCCGCGUGAGUGAAGAAGGCCUCGG
rnacentral:rRNA from 1 species